rnacentral:misc_RNA from 1 species
GAUGAAGAACGCAGCGAAAUGCGAUAACUAAUGUGAAUUGCAGAAUUCAGUGAAUCAUCGAGUCUUUGAACGCACAUUGCGCCCUCUGGUAUUCCGGAGGGCAUGCCUGUCCGAGCGUCAUUGCUGCCCUCCAGCCCGGCUGGUGUGUUGGGCCCCGUCCCCCUCCCGGGGGGACGGGCCCGAAAGGCAGCGGCGGCACCGCGUCCGGUCCUCGAGCGUAUGGGGCUUUGUCACCCGCUCUUGUAGGCCCGGCCGGCGCCAGCCGACCCCCUCAAUCUAUUUUUCAGGUUGACCUCGGAUCAGGUAGGGAUACCCGCUGAACUUAAGCAUAUCAUAAGCGGAGGA